rnacentral:rRNA from 1 species
UACAGAGGGUGCGAGCGUUGUCCGGAAUUACUGGGCGUAAAGGGCUCGUAGGUGGCCAACUAAGUCAGACGUGAAAUCCCCAGGCUCAACUUGGGAACUGCGUCUGAUACUGGAUGGCUUGAAUUCGGGAGAGGGAUGCAGAAUUCCAGGUGUAGCGGUGAAAUGCGUAGAUAUCUGGAGGAAUACCGGUGGCGAAGGCGGCAUCCUGGACCGAGAUUGACACUGAUGAGCGAAAGCUAGGGGAGCAAACGGG